rnacentral:tRNA from 1 species
GCUGGGAUGGCCGAGUUAGGUUUAAGGCGCAGGCCUGCUAAGCCUGUGAGCAUUUGCUCGCGAGGGUUCAAAAUAACCCUUUCUUUUCUUAAAAGAAAAGAAAGCGUUAACGAAAAGAAAAGAACUACACUUAACAAAAAACAUGGCAAUUCACGAUAUGACAAUUGUCAGAAUGUUUCUUUUGGCGGACGCAUUUUUCUUUAUAGAGAAAAAAGGUGUUGGGAAUUUCCCUCUCCCAGCG